rnacentral:rRNA from 1 species
GAUGAACGCUGGCGGCGUGCCUAAUACAUGCAAGUCGAGCGAACGGACGAGAAGCUUGCUUCGCUGAUGUUAGCGGCGGACGGGUGAGUAACACGUGGAUAACCGACCUAUAAGACUGGGAUAACUUCGGGAAACCGGAGCUAAUACAGGAUAAUAGUUUGAACCGCAUGGUUCAAAAGUGAAAGACGGUCUUGAUGUCACUUAUAGAUGGAACCGCGCUGCAUUAGCUAGUUGGUAAGGUAACGGCUUACCAAGGCAACGAUGCAUAGCCGACCUGAGAGGGUGAUCGGCCACACUGGAACUGAGACACGGUCCAGACUCCUACGGGAGGCAGCAGUAGGGAAUCUUCCGCAAUGGGCGAAAGCCUGACGGAGCAACGCCGCGUGAGUGAUGAAGGUCUUCGGAUCGUAAAACUCUGUUAUUAGGGAAGAACAUAUGUGUAAGUAACUGUGCACAUCUUGACGGUACCUAAUCAGAAAGCCACGGCUAACUACGUG